rnacentral:rRNA from 1 species
UACGUAGGCAGCAAGCGUUGUUCGGAGUUACUGGGCGUAAAGAGUGCGUAGGCGGUGUCGAAAGUUUGGCGUGAAAUCUCCCGCUUAACUGGGAGGGUGCGCCGAAAAACUGCGGUGCUGGAGUGUGGGAAAGGCAAGCGGAAUUCCUGGUGUAGCGGUGAAAUGCGUAGAUAUCAGGAGGAACACCGGCGGUGUAGACGGCUUGCUAGACCAUAACUGACGCUGAGGCACGAAAGCGUGGGUAGCAAACAGG